rnacentral:lncRNA from 10 species
AAACCCCCGUCUCUACUAAAAAUACAAAAAUUAGCCGAGCAUGGUGGCAUGCACUUCCAGCUACUUGGAAGGCUGAGGCGGGAGAAUGGCUUGAACCUGGGAGGCGAGGGUUGCAGUGAGCUGAGAUCGCACCACUGCACUCCAGCCUGGGUGACAGAGCGAGACUUCGUCUCAAAAAAAAAGAAGAAGAAAGAAGGAAGCUGAGGUUCAGACAGGCUAAGUCCCUACUGCAGGCUGCGGAAUCUAAAAAGGUCAUGAACUCUGAGAGUUUGAGAUGAGCCUCUAAAAGCUGUAUCAAUAGCACCUUGCACUGUUGAAGCAGGCCAUGAACUCUGAGAAUUUGGGCUGCAUUUUUAAAGCUGUAUCACUGGCAGUUUGUACUCAAAAAGCAGG